rnacentral:rRNA from 1 species
AUUGAACGCUGGCGGCACGCUUAACACAUGCAAGUCGAACGGCAGCACAAGAGGGUAACCUCUGGGUGGCGAGUGGCGGACGGGUGAGUAACGCGUAGGGAUCUGCCUGUUAGAGGGGGAUAAGCCGGGGAAACUCGGUCUAAUACCGCAUACGCUCUACGGAGGAAAGUAUGGGAUUUUAUUACCAUACACUAACAGAUGAACCUGCGUUAGAUUAGCUAGUUGGUAGGGUAAAGGCCUACCAAGGCGACGAUCUAUAGCUGGUCUGAGAGGAUGACCAGCCACACUGGAACUGAGAUACGGACCAGACUCCUACGGAGGGCAGCAGUGGGGAAGUAUUGGACGAAUAGGGGGCGGAACCCUACGAUCCAGCGAUGCCGCGUGUGUGAAGAAAGGCCU